AGAUUGAACGCUGGCGGCAUGCCUUACACAUGCAAGUCGAACGGUAGAGUAGCAAUACUUGAGAGUGGCGAACGGGUGAGUAAUAUAUCGGAACGUGCCCAGUCGUGGGGGAUAACGUAGAGAAAUUUACGCUAAUACCGCAUACGAUCUAAGGAUGAAAGCGGGGGACCGUAAGGCCUCGCGCGAUUGGAGCGGCUGAUAUCAGAUUAGGUUGUUGGUGAGGUAAAAGCUCACCAAGCCGACGAUCUGUAGCUGGUUUGAGAGAACGACCAGCCACACUGGGACUGAGACACGGCCCAGACUCCUACGGGAGGCAGCAGUGGGGAAUUUGGACAAUGGGCGAAAGGCCUGAUCCAGCAAUGCCGCGUGCAGGAAGAAGGCCUUCGGGUUGUAAACGUAGCUUUUGUACGGAACGAAACGGUCCGUAGCUUUAAUACAGUGGCUAAUGACGGUACCGUAAGAAUAAGACACCGGCUAACUACGUGCCAGCAGCCGCGGUAA
rnacentral:rRNA from 1 species